GCCANNAUAGCGGCAAAAGGGUGAGGAAUACGUGGGUAAUCUACCUUCGGGACGGGGAUAACACUCCGAAAGGAGUGCUAAUACCGGGUAAGACCACGGCUCCGCAUGGAGCUGCGGUAAAAGAUGGGGACCGUAAGGCCUAUCGUCUGAAGAGGAGCCCAUGUCCUAUCAGCUAGUUGGCGGGG
rnacentral:rRNA from 1 species